rnacentral:lncRNA from 1 species
AUGUCACAUAUCAACAAAAUUUUCUGUGUGCUUAAAUAUUGGAAAUGUUAUCAAACAGAAAUAAAUGUUAGGCAACAAAAUACAAAUCAGUUACUUGAGGAGUUGCCAAAACUAUUUUCAGAGAUCUCUGCCUUUCAAGCUGUCCAGCAAAUUUUGCUAAGAAGACUUUGUUAAUUACCACGUUCAAGUGCAUAGGAGAAUUGAUGCAAGGCUCCUAUGUGUCAUGUCUACUCUAUGGUCUCAGUUUUCCUGUGGAUUGUCAAUGAUGUAACCCCUGCCAUUGCACUUAGACAUCCAAGACUCUAAAUUUGGCAAGUGAAGAAGAGGUAUUAGAUUUCCUUUAAAAACCAAAGAGAAUGAAAGAACCUAUAAUAUCUGGAGAAUACACCAUAUUUUUCUGUUGCAGUAGAAAAACAAUUCAAUGGAUUUGUUUUUUUUUCAUAUUGAAAGACCAAAACGACAAUACAAGAGGCGUAUUUCAGGGAUGAUCUAUCCCUAGGAAUCUGGUUUGCUCAGGAGUCACACAGACCUGAGGUGGUCUGGAAAGCACAUUUCAAUGUUGCCAGCAGUGUGGGAGACUGGAGGAAUGAGACCCAAACAAGGCGGACUGACAAAGUAGAAGCAGAGAGAGAUCUCUCAAAUGAGCAGUUUCACUAUUCUCCAGUGAACCAAACAGAUAUGCCUGAGCCCAGUGACAUAUUCAAGCCUGUUGGUUGACAGAAAGAAGCACUUGGCAGGGGAGAUGUUCACUGAAUGAUCACUCAUCAAAUGUUUGAGUACUUUGUACAUAUCAGGUACUGAUCCUGGGUAAUAGAAAUAAAGUCUGAAUAGCAAAGAUGAAACAGUGCCACCUCUAUAUCUUGCAUUUAAGUUGGAAAA